GGCGGGCUGCCCGGUGCGUCAGGAACACGUUUCCCUGGGGCCUAUACCGAUCCUUAUGGGAGCUGUCCCUGGUUGGAGCCGUGGCUUCUUCCAAACGGCACCCACCUACGUUGAGUAGGAACCCGGGAUCGAAAUUCCGACGGCCAGGGCGGCUUUGCC
rnacentral:other from 1 species